rnacentral:rRNA from 1 species
AUUGAACGCUGGCGGCAGGCUUAACAAAUGCAAGUCGAGCGAGCGGCGGACGGGUGAGUAAUGUCUGGGAAACUGCCUGAUGGAGGGGGAUAACUACUGGAAACGGUAGCUAAUACCGCAUACCAUCAGAUGUGCCCAGAUGGGAUUAGCUAGUAGGUGGGGUAAUGGCUCACCUAGGCGACGAUCCCUAGCCGGUCUGAGAGGAUGGCCAGCCACACUGGAACUGAGACACGGUCCAGACUCCUACGGGAGGCAGCAGUGGGGAAUAUUGCACAAUGGGCGCAAGCCUGAUGCAGCCAUGCCGCGUGUAUGAAGAAGGCCUUAGGGUUGUAAAGCACUUUCAGCGGGGAGGCGUUACCCGCAGAAGAAGCAACGGCUAACUCCGUGCCAGCAGCCGCGGUAAUAC